rnacentral:rRNA from 1 species
AGGGUAGCUUGCUACCCAACCUAGCGGCGGACGGGUGAGUAAUGCUUAGGAAUCUGCCUAUUAGUGGGGGACAACGUUUCGAAAGGAACGCUAAUACCGCAUACGCCCUACGGGGGAAAGCAGGGGCUCUUCGGACCUUGCGCUAAUAGAUGAGCCUAAGUCAGAUUAGCUAGUUGGUGGGGUAAAGGCCUACCAAGGCGACGAUCUGUAGCGGGUCUGAGAGGAUGAUCCGCCACACUGGGACUGAGACACGGCCCAGACUCCUACGGGAGGCAGCAGUGGGGAAUAUUGGACAAUGGGGGGAACCCUGAUCCAGCCAUGCCGCGUGUGUGAAGAAGGCCUUUUGGUUGUAAAGCACUUUAAGCGAGGAGGAGGCUCCUAUAGAUAAUACCUAUAGUGAGUGGACGUUACUCGCAGAAUAAGCACCGGCUAACUCUGUGCCAGCAGCCGCGGUAAUACAGAGGGUGCGAGCGUUAAUCGGAUUUACUGGGCGUAAAGCGUACGUAGGCGGCUUUUUAAGUCGGAUGUGAAAUCCCUGAGCUUAACUUAGGAAUUGCAUUCGAUACUGGGAAGCUAGAGUAUGGGAGAGGAUGGUAGAAUUCCAGGUGUAGCGGUGAAAUGCGUAGAGAUCUGGAGGAAUACCGAUGGCGAAGGCAGCCAUCUGGCCUAAUACUGACGCUGAGGU